rnacentral:rRNA from 1 species
GAUGAACGCUGGCGGCGUGCCUAAUACAUGCAAGUCGAGCGAACAGACGAGGAGCUUGCUCCUCUGACGUUAGCGGCGGACGGGUGAGUAACACGUGGAUAACCUACCUAUAAGACUGGGAUAACUUCGGGAAACCGGAGCUAAUACCGGAUAAUAUAUUGAACCGCAUGGUUCAAUAGUGAAAGACGGUUUUGCUGUCACUUAUAGAUGGAUCCGCGCCGCAUUAGCUAGUUGGUAAGGUAACGGCUUACCAAGGCAACGAUGCGUAGCCGACCUGAGAGGGUGAUCCGCCACACUGGAACUGAGAAACGGUCCAGACUCCGACGGGAGGCAGCAGUAGGGAAUCUUCCGCAAUGGGCGAGAGCCUGACGGAGCAACGCCGCGUGAGUGAUGAAGGUCUUCGGAUCGUAAAACUCUGUUAUUAGGGAAGAACAAAUGUGUAAGUAACUAUGCACGUCUUGACGGUACCUAAUCAGAAAGCCACGGCUAACUACGUG